rnacentral:rRNA from 1 species
UACGAAGGGUGCAAACGUUGCUCGGAAUUAUUGGGCGUAAAGCGCACGUAGGCGGCUUGGCAAGUCGGAUGUGAAAUCCCUCGGCUCAACCAAGGAAGUGCAUCCGAAACUGCUGAGCUUGAGUACGAAAGAGGAUCGCGGAAUUCCCGGUGUAGAGGUGAAAUUCGUAGAUAUUCGGAAGAACACCAGGGGCGAAGGCGACUCACUGGACAUGUAUUGACGCUGAGGUGCGAAAGCGUGGGAGCAAACAGG